GCGCGGGUGGCGGAACUGGUAGACGCGCAGGAUUAAGGAUCCUGUGGGGUAAGACCCGUGGAGGUUCGAGUCCUCUUCCGCGCACAA
rnacentral:tRNA from 1 species